rnacentral:lncRNA from 1 species
ACUAAAUAACCUCUUAUAACACUUAAAUAAACACAUAAACACAUAAUCUAUCUUAGCAUACAAGAUUAAACUUUGGUUAAGGUUUAUACCUCUCUUGAACAAACUUUGAAUCUUUGCUUCCUAAUCUAUUCUUGAUGCGUUAGGGAUUUAGUUAGGAACUGAAAUACUUAUCAAUUUCGUGGCUUUAGAGAGAGAAGGACUUGGUUGAGUGUUUGAGUACAAAUGAGUUUGGUUUUUGAUGUUUCUCUCUCUCUCUCUCUCUUUAAUCUAUCUAAUCUUUGAUGCAAUGAAUUUAUAAGUUG